GAUGUUGUCAUGUAUCGUCAUAUGACAAGACUCUGAUUUGAUUGCUUCCAUCCUGGCCGUUGAGGGAUCCUAUAUAUAUAGGGUCGCUUUUGGCCGAAUUUUUACUUUGCAUUUGUCUUCAUUCUCUACUACAGAAACUCUGUUGGAAAGUCGCCCCAGUGCCAGAAGACCAGGGUUCCUUCUCCGCCUUUUUGCUUUUAGCUUUCAGGUUAAGUA
rnacentral:lncRNA from 1 species